AGUGAACGCUGGCGGUAGGCCUAAUACAUGCCAGUCGAACGGCAGCACAGUAAGAGCUUGCUCUUACGGGUGGCGAGUGGCGGACGGGUGAGGAAUACAUCGGAAUCUACUUUUUCGUGGGGGAUAACGUAGGGAAACUUACGCUAAUACCGCAUACGACCUACGGGUGAAAGCAGGGGAUCUUCGGACCUUGCGCGAUUGAAUGAGCCGAUGUCGGAUUAGCUAGUUGGCGGGGUAAAGGCCCACCAAGGCGACGAUCCGUAGCUGGUCUGAGAGGAUGAUCAGCCACACUGGAACUGAGACACGGUCCAGACUCCUACGGGAGGCAGCAGUGGGGAAUAUUGGACAAUGGGCGCAAGCCUGAUCCAGCCAUACCGCGUGGGUGAAGAAGGCCUUCGGGUUGUAAAGCCCUUUUGUUGGGAAAGAAAAGCAGCAGGUUAAUACCCCGCUGUUCUGACGGUACCCAAAGAAUAAGCACCGGCUAACUUCGUG
rnacentral:rRNA from 1 species